GUGAGGAAUAUUGGACAAUGGGCGCAAGCCUGAUCCAGCCAUGACGCGUGCAGGAAGACGCAUCUAUGGUGUGUAAACUGCUUUUGUACGGGAAGAAACACUCCCUCGUGAGGGAGCUUGACGGUACCGUAAGAAUAAGGAUCGGCUAACUCCGUGCCAGCAGCCGCGGUAAUACGGAGGAUCCAAGCGUUAUCCGGAAUCAUUGGGUUUAAAGGGUCCGUAGGCGGUUUAAUAAGUCAGUGGUGAAAGCCCAUCGCUCAACGAUGGAACGGCCAUUGAUACUGUUAGACUUGAAUUACAAGGAAGUAACUAGAAUAUGUAGUGUAGCGGUGAAAUGCUUAGAUAUUACAUGGAAUACCAAUUGCGAAGGCAGGUUACUACUUGUGGAUUGACGCUGAUGGACGAAAGCGUGGGGAGCGAACAGGAUUAGAAACCCCGGUAGUCC
rnacentral:rRNA from 1 species